rnacentral:rRNA from 1 species
AGUGAACGCUGGCGGUAGGCCUAACACAUGCAAGUCGAACGGCAGCACAGUAAGAGCUUGCUCUUACGGGUGGCGAGUGGCGGACGGGUGAGGAAUACAUCGGAAUCUACUUUUUCGUGGGGGAUAACGUAGGGAAACUUACGCUAAUACCGCAUACGACCUACGGGUGAAAGCAGGGGAUCUUCGGACCUUGCGCGAUUGAAUGAGCCGAUAUCGGAUUAGCUAGUUGGCGGGGUAAAGGCCCACCAAGGCGACGAUCCGUAGCUGGUCUGAGAGGAUGAUCAGCCACACUGGAACGGAGACACGGUCCAGACUCCUACGGGAGGCAGCAGUGGGGAAUAUUGGACAAUGGGCGCAAGCCUGAUCCAGCCAUACCGCGUGGGUGAAGAAGGCCUUCGGGUUGUAAAGCCCUUUUGUUGGGAAAGAAAAGCAGCAGGUUAAUACCCCGCUGUUCUGACGGUACCCAAAGAAUAAGCACCGGCUAACUUCGUG